rnacentral:lncRNA from 1 species
CUAUUCCGUUAUCGGUAUCUUUAUUGAUAGUCAUUAAAUAAUGUUUUCUCCAAAGUGAGAGAAAAUACAUUAAUUUGAUGAUAACAGUAUAAAUCUAAGCAAUAACCAAACCCCUGCUUCCUUCUGCUGGGUCUGAUCUGUCUCCAUGCCUGGGGGCAGCUGUUUCCUUCUCACUUAUUCCCUAUCUGAAGAAGUUACACAGAAUCUAAUGUUCCCUACUAUAGGAAAUGGUUAAAUGCAAUUGGAUAACAAUGGAUUAUGAGGUAGAAGGCAAUAUUCCAGCCACUAAAAGCACAAACGCAAAGUGCUGUCCCAAACGACAGGCUAAAAGCAACGGGGAGCACUUCCUCUGAGGGGGUCACAUGUGUCUCAGGCUGCACAAUUUAAACUAGUCACUAUCAUUCCUGAAAAGUCAGCUCUGCCUUCCAAAUCUGAAAUAGUCACAAUUGCUGAAGCCCAAUCUGGCUUGCUCCGAUCAGCUACAGUCCUCCAUGCCUAUCUCAGAGAAGGAAAAUCUGUGUGUGUGUAUGUGUGUGCAUGCACACACACCCUCAUUAAGAAGAUAAAGCAAAUAAACUUCCCGCCAAGCUCACAGUACACUCAAAGUCAACUGCGCUGUAUUUACUCACAUAAUCAGUCUCAUCUGCACUUAUUUUUCUAAUGAAACAGGACUGGAAAUUAAACAUGGCUAAACAGCAGCUAAGUCUGACUGCCUAAUGGACUCGGGCACUCUGCUGAGCGAUAAGCACUCAGUUACAGCUCAGCUCCACCGAACCUCUCUUGGUCCUCAAUACCUGGAAUUACUUGCAAGCUCAAGUAGUUUUCCUUGGCACCUUUGGCAGAGAGAGCUCCUUGUUGGGUUGGGAAUCCCUUACAAUGAAGCGGAGCCAGUGUCUUAGGAGGAGGAAGUAGACGGGGGCGAAAGAAACUCCAUCUUCCUCCACCUGGUCGUUGGUUUCUUGGAAGAAGGGAGCUUUCAAAAGGCAGGCGGAGCCACGAGCAAGAAAACGGCCACUACAAGGGAGGGAGGCAGGAACCUUCCCAAAAGAAAGCUACAUCCCCGCGGGUU